rnacentral:tRNA from 1 species
GCCGCGUUAGCUCAGCUGGAAGAGCACUUGCCUUGUAACCAAGGGGUCGUUGGUUCGAUUCCGACACGCGGCACCA